GGAUUAGAUACCCUGGUAGUCCACGCUGUAAACGAUGAUCACUAAGUGUUCGGCCUUCGGGUUGAGUGCUCAAGCGAAAGCGAUAAGUGAUCCACCUGGGGAGUACGUCGGCAACGAUGAAACUCAAAGGAAUUGACGGGGGCCCGCACAAGCGGUGGAGCAUGUGGUUUAAUUCGAUGAUACGCGAGGAACCUUACCUAGGCUACAAUGCCUCUGCUACUGGGUGAAAGCUCAGGUUCCUUCGGGACAGAGUGCAAGGUGCUGCAUGGUUGUCGUCAGCUCGUGCUG
rnacentral:rRNA from 1 species